CACGCGUUGGGAGCUCUCCCAUAUGGUCGACCUGCAGGCGGCCGCGAAUUCACUAGUGAUUAGAGUUUGAUCAUGGCUCAGAAUGAACGCUGGCGGCAGGCCUAACACAUGCAAGUCGAACGGAGUUAUAUUGUAGCUUGCUAUGGUAUAGCUUAGUGGCAGACGGGUGAGUAAUGUAUAGGAAUCUACCUAGUAGUACGGAAUAAUUGUUGGAAACGGCAACUAAUACCGUAUACCACCCUACGGGGGAAAAAUUUAUUGCUAUUAGAUGAGCCUAUAUUAGAUUAGCUAGUUGGUGGAGUAAUAGCCUACCAAGGCAAUGAUCUAUAGCUGAUCUGAGAGGAUGAUCAGCCACACUGGAACUGAGAUACGGUCCAGACUCCUACGGGAGGCAGCAGUGGGGAAUAUUGGACAAUGGGCGAAAGCCUGAUCCAGCCAUGCCGCAUGAGUGAAGAAGGCCUUUGGGUUGUAAAGCUCUUUUAGUGAGGAAGAUAAUGACGGUACUCACAGAAGAAGUCCUGGCUAACUCCGUGCCAGCAGCCGCGGUAAUACGGAGAGGGCUAGUGUUAUUCGGAAUUAUUGGGCGUAAAGGGCGCGUAGGCUGGUUAGUAAGUUAAAAGUGAAAUCCCGAGGCUUAACCUUGGAACUGCUUUUAAAACUGCUAACCUAGAGAUUGAAAGAGGAUAGAGGAAUUCCUAGUGUAGAGGUGAAAUUCGUAAAUAUUAGGAGGAACACCAGUGGCGAAGGCGUCUAUCUGGUUCAAAUCUGACGCUGAGGCGCGAAGGCGGGGGGAGCAAACAGGAUUAGAUACCCUGGUAGUCCACGCUGUAAACGAUGAAUGUUAAAUAUGGGAAGUUUACUUUCUGUAUUACAGCUAACGCGUUAAACAUUCCGCCUGGGGACUACGGUCGCAAGAUUAAACUCAAGGAAUUGACGGG
rnacentral:rRNA from 1 species